rnacentral:rRNA from 2 species
GCCUAGGAAUCUGCCUGGUAGUGGGGGAUAACGUUCGGAAACGGACGCUAAUACCGCAUACGUCCUACGGGAGAAAGCAGGGGACCUUCGGGCCUUGCGCUAUCAGAUGAGCCUAGGUCGGAUUAGCUAGUUGGUGAGGUAAUGGCUCACCAAGGCGACGAUCCGUAACUGGUCUGAGAGGAUGAUCAGUCACACUGGAACUGAGACACGGUCCAGACUCCUACGGGAGGCAGCAGUGGGGAAUAUUGGACAAUGGGCGAAAGCCUGAUCCAGCCAUGCCGCGUGUGUGAAGAAGGUCUUCGGAUUGUAAAGCACUUUAAGUUGGGAGGAAGGGCAGUAAAUUAAUACUUUGCUGUUUUGACGUUACCGACAGAAUAAGCACCGGCUAACUCUGUGCCAGCAGCCGCGGUAAUACAGAGGGUGCAAGCGUUAAUCGGAAUUACUGGGCGUAAAGCGCGCGUAGGUGGUUUGUUAAGUUGGAUGUGAAAUCCCCGGGCUCAACCUGGGAACUGCAUUCAAAACUGACUGACUAGAGUAUGGUAGAGGGUGGUGGAAUUUCCUGUGUAGCGGUGAAAUGCGUAGAUAUAGGAAGGAACACCAGUGGCGAAGGCGACCACCUGGACUAAUACUGACACUGAGGUGCGAAAGCGUGGGGGAGCAAACAGGAUUAGAUACCCUGGUAGUCCACGCCGUAAACGAUGUCAACUAGCCGUUGGAAGCCUUGAGCUUUUAGUGGC